GCUUACGGCCAUACUACCCGAAGAUCCCCCGAUCUCGUCUGAUCUCGGAAGAUAAGCUGGGUCAGGCCUGGUUAGUACUUGGAUGGGAGACUUCCUAGGAAUACCAGGUGCUGUAGGCU